GUACCCUUCAAUGGGAGAGAGGAAAGGGGCCGUGAUCUGAAGCGGGAGGACUUUUCAGUGUCUUCCCCCUACAUGAAAUGGCUGAACAGAAAAAA